rnacentral:rRNA from 1 species
UACGGAGGGGGCUAGCGUUGUUCGGAAUUACUGGGCGUAAAGCGCACGUAGGCGGCUUUGUAAGUUAGAGGUGAAAGCCCGGGGCUCAACUCCGGAAUUGCCUUUAAGACUGCAUCGCUAGAAUCGUGGAGAGGUGAGUGGAAUUCCGAGUGUAGAGGUGAAAUUCGUAGAUAUUCGGAAGAACACCAGUGGCGAAGGCGACUCACUGGACACGUAUUGACGCUGAGGAGCGAAAGCAUGGGGGAGCGAACAGG